rnacentral:rRNA from 1 species
CUGGGGCCUUGGCCUUGGAUUGUAGCCUCUAGACAUAGUGCCAACGGAGGCGCAGGUGCAAGCCUCUUGGAAAAGAGCAUCAAUGUGGGUGAGAAUCCUGUGUUUCACUUGCAGUCCACCGUGCACGGCACAUGUUCUCAGAGUCGCGUUCCUCGGAAUUGGAGCGUAAAGUGGGUGGUAAAUUUCAUCUAAAGCUAAAUAUAGGCUUGAGACCGAUAGCAAACAAGUACCAUGAGGGAAAGAUGAAAAGGACUUUGAAAAGAGAGUUAAAAGUGCUUGAAAUCGCUGAAAGGGAAGCGAAUGGAACCAGUCUUCUGGCUGAGAUUGCUGCAUGCUACUGUGAUGCCUGGCUGCUUCAACGCAAGUGUUGUAGUUAGAGUUGAUCAGCUGCGUGUGGUGUUUCUCAGCUUGUUAGUCAACCUCUGUUUGCGCUUGGGGAUAGCCUCAGGUACACGUCGCUUCUCUGCGGAGUUGCUCCUGUGCUUGUAGGGACUCAGGUGCAUACUUUUGGUGACAAAAUGGUUCUCUUCGACCCGUCUUGAAACACGGACCAAGGAGUCUAGCACAUGUGCAAGUUCACAGGUGGCAAGCCUGCUUGCGCAAUGAAGGUGACUGCUGGGAUAUUUGCACCAGCAACCGACCAAUCAAUUGAGAGAAGUUUGAGUAUGAGCAUAUGUGUUAGG